UACAGAGGGGGCAAGCGUUGUUCGGAAUUACUGGGCGUAAAGGGCGCGUAGGCGGCCUGUUAAGUCGAACGUGAAAUCCCCGGGCUCAACCCGGGAACUGCGUCCGAUACUGGCAGGCUUGAAUUCGGGAGAGGGAUGCGGAAUUCCAGGUGUAGCGGUGAAAUGCGUAGAUAUCUGGAGAACACCGGUGGCGAAGGCGGCAUCCUGGACCGAGAUUGACGCCUGAGGCGCGAAAGCGUGGGGAGCAAACAGG
rnacentral:rRNA from 1 species